rnacentral:sRNA from 1 species
AAGAAAAACAUAAUCUGCCCGCAUCCA